rnacentral:lncRNA from 1 species
UAGUUGACUAUGAUUCAGGUCUAGCUAAUAGGACUAAUCGUUGGUUGCAUGUCAGAAACUUAUUUCUUCUAAGCCUAACUAUUGCCCAGAGGUAGCAACCCAAAAGGAGGGGGUGAAUUAGGUUGAUUAAAAAUUUUAACCAAAUUUAAAAUCUAAACAAAGAUGUGCUUAAAUUUCAACUUAUCUAAGUGAUUAUGAGAUGAUCAAUAUAUACAAUAACUCAAGCAAAAUAAACAAUAAAACUAUGUAAUAAAUAAUUCUAAUGAAAAGCAAAAGUUAAAAACAUGUAAAGCAAAAAGAAGAGCAAUGCACAAACACACAAAAUUUAUAGUGAUUCGAAGCAACCCGCUCCUACAUCCACUCUCCAAUUUUUUUUUGAAAUUUUUACUAUAAUCCAUCCUUGAUUACAGUGUGUUUGUUUUUUUGAGCUCACAAACAAAUUCAAUUGAUUUUAACCCAGGUCAACCAAUCAAAAUCUUUAUACUUUUAGUUUUUCGAGCUCACUAAGAAUCCAGUUGAUUUUUCAGACUCACUAAC